GAUGAACGCUGGCGGCGUGCCUAAUACAUGCAAGUCGAGCGAACGGACGAGAAGCUUGCUUCUCUGAUGUUAGCGGCGGACGGGUGAGUAACACGUGGAUAACCUACCUAUAAGACUGGGAUAACUUCGGGAAACCGGAGCUAAUACCGGAUAAUAUUUUGAACCGCAUGGUUCAAAAGUGAAAGACGGUCUUGCUGUCACUUAUAGAUGGAUCCGCGCUGCAUUAGCUAGUUGGUAAGGUAACGGCUUACCAAGGCAACGAUGCAUAGCCGACCUGAGAGGGUGAUCGGCCACACUGGAACUGAGACACGGUCCAGACUCCUACGGGAGGCAGCAGUAGGGAAUCUUCCGCAAUGGGCGAAAGCCUGACGGAGCAACGCCGCGUGAGUGAUGAAGGUCUUCGGAUCGUAAAACUCUGUUAUUAGGGAAGAACAUAUGUGUAAGUAACUGUGCACAUCUUGACGGUACCUAAUCAGAAAGCCACGGCUAACUACGUGCCAGCAGCCGCGGUAAUACGUAGGUGGCAAGCGUUAUCCGGAAUUAUUGGGCGUAAAGCGCGCGUAGGCGGUUUUUUAAGUCUGAUGUGAAAGCCCACGGCUCAACCGUGGAGGGUCAUUGGAAACUGGAAAACUUGAGUGCAGAAGAGGAAAGUGGGAUUCCAUGUGUAGCGGUGAAAUGCGCAGAGAUAUGGAGGAACACCAGUGGCGAAGGCGACUUUCUGGUCUGUAACUGACGCUGAUGUGCGAAAGCGUGGGGAUCAAACAGGAUUAGAUACCCUGGUAGUCCACGCCGUAAACGAUGAGUGCUAAGUGUUAGGGGGUUUCCGCCCCUUAGUGCUGCAGCUAACGCAUUAAGCACUCCGCCUGGGGAGUACGACCGCAAGGUUGAAACUCAAAGGAAUUGACGGGGACCCGCACAAGCGGUGGAGCAUGUGGUUUAAUUCGAAGCAACGCGAAGAACCUUACCAAAUCUUGACAUCCUUUGACAACUCUAGAGAUAGAGCUUUCCCCUUCGGGGGACAAAGUGACAGGUGGUGCAUGGUUGUCGUCAGCUCGUGUCGUGAGAUGUUGGGUUAAGUCCCGCAACGAGCGCAACCCUUAAGCUUAGUUGCCAUCAUUAAGUUGGGCACUCUAAGUUGACUGCCGGUGACAAACCGGAGGAAGGUGGGGAUGACGUCAAAUCAUCAUGCCCCUUAUGAUUUGGGCUACACACGUGCUACAAUGGACAAUACAAAGGGCAGCGAAACCGUGAGGUCAAGCAAAUCCCAUAAAGUUGUUCUCAGUUCGGAUUGUAGUCUGCAACUCGACUACAUGAAGCUGGAAUCGCUAGUAAUCGUAGAUCAGCAUGCUACGGUGAAUACGUUCCCGGGUCU
rnacentral:rRNA from 1 species